GCAUUGGUGGUUCAGUGGCAGAAUUCUUGCUUCCCACGCAGGAGACCCGGGUUCGAUUCCUGGCCAAUGCA
rnacentral:tRNA from 1 species